rnacentral:rRNA from 1 species
AUGCUGGAGGUAUCAGAAGUGCGAAUGCUGACAUAAGUAACGAUAAAGCGGGUGAAAAGCCCGCUCGCCGGAAGACCAAGGGUUCCUGUCCAACGUUAAUCGGGGCAGGGUGAGUCGACCCCUAAGGCGAGGCCGAAAGGCGUAGUCGAUGGGAAACAGGUUAAUAUUCCUGUACUUGGUGUUACUGCGAAGGGGGGACGGAGAAGGCUAUGUUGGCCGGGCGACGGUUGUCCCGGUUUAAGCGUGUAGGCUGGUUUUCCAGGCAAAUCCGGAAAAUCAAGGCUGAGGCGUGAUGACGAGGCACUACGGUGCUGAAGCAACAAAUGCCCUGCUUCCAGGAAAAGCCUCUAAGCAUCAGGUAACAUCAAAUCGUACCCCAAACCGACACAGGUGGUCAGGUAGAGAAUACCAAGGCGCUUGAGAGAACUCGGGUGAAGGAACUAGGCAAAAUGGUGCCGUAACUUCGGGAGAAGGCACGCUGAUAUGUAGGUGAAGCGACUUGCUCGUGGAGCUGAAAUCAGUCGAAGAUACCAGCUGGCUGCAACUGUUUAUUAAAAACACAGCACUGUGCAAACACGAAAGUGGACGUAUACGGUGUGACGCCUGCCCGGUGCCGGAAGGUUAAUUGAUGGGGUNAGCGCAAGCGAAGCUCUUGAUCGAAGCCCCGGUAAACGGCGGCCGUAACUAUAACGGUCCUAAGGUAGCGAAAUUCCUUGUCGGGUAAGUUCCGACCUGCACGAAUGGCGUAAUGAUGGCCAGGCUGUCUCCACCCGAGACUCAGUGAAAUUGAACUCGCUGUGAAGAUGCAGUGUACCCGCGGCAAGACGGAAAGACCCCGUGAACCUUUACUAUAGCUUGACACUGAACAUUGAGCCUUGAUGUGUAGGAUAGGUGGGAGGCUUAGAAGUGUGGACGCCAGUCUGCAUGGAGCCGACCUUGAAAUACCACCCUUUAAUGUUUGAUGUUCUAACGUUGACCCGUAAUCCGGGUUGCGGACAGUGUCUGGUGGGUAGUUUGACUGGGGCGGUCUCCUCCUAAAGAGUAACGGAGGAGCACGAAGGUUGGCUAAUCCUGGUCGGACAUCAGGAGGUUAGUGCAAUGGCAUAAGCCAGCUUGACUGCGAGCGUGACGGCGCGAGCAGGUGCGAAAGCAGGUCAUAGUGAUCCGGUGGUUCUGAAUGGAAGGGCCAUCGCUCAACGGAUAAAAGGUACUCCGGGGAUAACAGGCUGAUACCGCCCAAGAGUUCAUAUCGACGGCGGUGUUUGGCACCUCGAUGUCGGCUCAUCACAUCCUGGGGCUGAAGUAGGUCCCAAGGGUAUGGCUGUUCGCCAUUUAAAGUGGUACGCGAGCUGGGUUUAGAACGUCGUGAGACAGUUCGGUCCCUAUCUGCCGUGGGCGCUGGAGAACUGAGGGGGGCUGCUCCUAGUACGAGAGGACCGGAGUGGACGCAUCACUGGUGUUCGGGUUGUCAUGCCAAUGGCACUGCCCGGUAGCUAAAUGCGGAAGAGAUAAGUGCUGAAAGCAUCUAAGCACGAAACUUGCCCCGAGAUGAGUUCUCCCUGACCCUUUAAGGGUCCUGAAGGAACGUUGAAGACGACGACGUUGAUAGGCCGGGUGUGUAAGCGCAGCGAUGCGUUGAGCUAACCGGUACUAAUGAACCGUGAGGCUUAACCUU